GCAGCCACCCCCACCGCCUCUGCCCCUAGAAAGUCGGGCCGCCGUCGCGGAAAGCUGCCUCCGGGGAGGAGGAGGAAGAGGCGCCGGUAGCGGGAGGGGAGACGAGACAGGAGGAGGAAGAGGAGCACGGAGACGGCCCCCGCGCGAUUGAUGGGCGGCCCCUCCGCCCUGGACCAGCCCGCCUGUCCUGCCCCUCGGCCUCUUCAGCCCGCGCAGGUGGGGAAGGACUGACCCGCCAGGUUGGGGAUUAAGAAUCAUGUUGCAUGAAGCAAGGGACAGGCAGAAGUUCGUGAGUAAUGUUCAAUAUCUGCGGGACAUGCAGCAUAAGGUGGACUCUGAAUAUCAGGCUUGUCUGAGACGACAGGAAUACAGAAGAGACCCAAAUGAGAAGAAACGAGAUCAAUUUUGGGGGCCAGAGACAAAUUUGGAGAGAUCCCGGUUUUCAAGUGGGUCAUCUUCCAAACAGGAUCCUCAGUGCCAGGGAGGUCCUGGAGCCAGUCUCCCAGAGGAAGCUGUCAGAAUGCUGGCACCUGCCAAAGGAGAACGCAGGCCAGACCAGUCCCAGUUUGCAGAGCUCAGUGGGUUGAGUACCACAUCAGGUCUACAGGUGCAAAAGAUAAUUGGUCACUGAGAAAAGAGCAGGAGAAAGAUACAGUUCAACGUGCAGGGGUAACCUAACCAAAGCCCUCCUCCAUAGGUGAACAUUCCCCCUACAUAAUUCCCUUCGAGAGACUCCUGUGGCUGAAAACCCUCCAAGGAAAGCGUUGCCUCUGAUCUGUAAAGGAGAGUUCAUUCUGACGGAGCGGGCAGUGAGUGAGCGGAUUGCUUAAUCCACAGGACGCUUUCCACCGCACUCACUGCGUGAAGCGCACCACCACCAAAUUCUGAUGCUUGUAUUGCAGUUUCCGCCACGUGUUCCUUCCUUGACCCAGUCUCAGAUGAUCACAAUUCUGAUGAACCUGGACUUAGAGACAUUUACCAUCCAAUCAUAGAUCCAGUGUCAAGCUAUCAUUUCCAGACACCUGCCUGGAGGGGGCGGAUCCCCAAAUGCACAGUUAACACGGCGGCCACUCCACGAGGCGCAGGGACCUCACUGCUGCCUGUGGCUUUAACUGUACCUUAGACAGAGGCCGUGUUACCCCUAAAUCCAAGAUAAAGCCAUAACCAGCAAGCUCGUGCUGAGAGGUUCUUUAAAGCGGUACCUCCUAAAUGCAUUUAAGUCAGCGAUGUGGCAAAGUAGAAAGAACACUCACCAUCAAGAGCCAUCUCUGUCCCUCAUCACAGUGUGAAUUCAGACAAACCACUUCUAAGCACUUCAAUUUCCCAUCAAGGAGAUACUUAUUAUUAAUGCUGAUCUUGUGGGAUCAAUGUGAGAACAAGAGACUCUUACGUUCAUGCUAACAUUAGAUUACAUUAUAAAUUGCCUUGGUGUCCGACCGGUCUUACAAAUGGUGCUCUAGGAAGUAUCAGUAGCAGAGCAGGCUCUGAGGCUUCUAGAAUACCUUCUUUCACCUCAGCCCAAUCCCAAGCCACAUUUCUAAAAGCCAAUUUAAUUUAAAAGGCAACUUAAUUUUAGACCCUUUUCAAAGUUACAUACAACCAUGUUAACUGUUUAAUCAGAGUAGAAGAAAUAGGAAAAUACACAGCAGCUCCAUCUAAUCAACUAGGAGUUGGAUGAUUAGUAGAUUAAAAAGCAAAGCAGUCUCUCGAUACGAGCAGGAAACCAUGUCCCCAGGAGAGCCUCUGGCCUAGACGAGCCUGCUGUAACUGACAGGAUAUUUCGCCCUCCCAAACCUUCACAGAGAAGAAACAGGAGCCCCGAUUACCCCAGAGAAAAUGAUGAGAAUGAUUAGCCCAGGACUUGGGGGUGGGGGGGAGCAGCAACCUUCUACGAAGAGGGGCGUCAUGAGCUUUUCUUGUCUUCAAGCCUUGCUGAAAGGGACACUGUUCCAAAUGCACAUACCUCAAGGACUUAGGACAUGUUGUCACUGCAUUUACUUCUUCGUCAGCAAAGAAGGCAGAGACCAAGAGUACCGUUUGCCCUGCUGAUAGGAACAGGAUUAUUGUCCUUCACCAUCAGCAACCGGCAACUAAAUAGAUUCCGUGUCACAAGGACCCAACGUUCCGUGGGAAGGCGGCAGUAAACCUGACACCAGCAGCGACUGGCUCGUCCCCAGGCCUGGCUCAGUGGGAUGUGGACCGGUGAGAUCACCUGAACCUCCCAGAAAGCACAGUAAGCUUAAGUGUGACGGUGAUUACCCAACAUAAACAUUUUAAUUGUUUUGUUCAUGAUGAUCCGCACAAACUUUGGAGGUUGAAAUAAAAAACAAAGCCUCUUCAAGUGACCUGCAGUGGCUGAAAAGGUCAGAAUAUCCAUCCAUACAUGAGGGCAGCAGAAGUCUAGAACUGUACUGUCCAAUAAAGUGGCCACUAGCCAUGUGUGGCUAUUUACCUUUACCUUUAAAUUAAUUAAAAGAG